rfam:Triticum urartu cultivar G1812 contig898103, whole genome shotgun sequence.
UUUAGCAUUCGGUUUAUGGGCCAUAAUACCGUUACCCACCGCAUGUAAUAAGUGCGUUUUACCUAAACCUGUUCCUCCGUA